UGCGUAGGCGGACUAAUAAGUCAGUGGUGAAAUCCCGCAGCUUAACUGUGGAACUGUCAUUGAUACUGGUUUUCUUGAAUUUAGUUGAGGUAGGCGGAAUGUGUAAUGUAGCGGUGAAAUGCUUAGAUAUUACACAGAACACCGAUUGCGAAGGCAGCUUACUAAACUAUGAUUGACGCUGAGGUACGAAAGCGUGGGGAGCGAACAGGAUUAGAUACCCUGGUAGUCC
rnacentral:rRNA from 1 species